UCCCAGCCAGCCACAACGCGCAGUUGUUCUGGGUUCAGUGCUCCAGUGCUCAGGCAUGGCUGCCCAAUCACCAUUCGGGUGGUCGUGGAACUCAUCAAUUUGCGCCACCACCGCCAUCAAAUGCUCUUCUUCUUCUAACUUCUCAACUUUCUCUUCCUUCCACACAAAUCCCCGGAAACGAUCCCGUUUAACCGCUUCUUCUCCUCCUCCUCCUCCUCCUCCUCCUUCUUCUCCUAGUAGUAGCUCUAAACCUAAUGCCAAACAGGGACUUUGAAAGCCAGUGAAAUUGGAUCGUCCGAAUCCGAAUCGGAAUCCGAACCCAACCACAUUGGUUAAAAAUUCUAGUGGAAAUCGAUCGCAAGACGAAAGGAGAGUAACGACCCUAAGCUUCAAGUCCUUGUUCGGCAAACGAUCUCUAUGGCGAAGGAUCUUUUUCGCUUCCAAGAAAGUUAGGAGCAUCAUCUUGCUCAACGUCAUCACCGUCGCUCAUGUAGCCAGUAAUUUCUCGAUUGUAAAAGAGGUGGAAGCCGUCAUGGACCCGGCAGCCUUCACUAUUGUGCGGUUUGCUGUGUCAGCCAUUCCGUUCAUCCCUUUUGUGUUCCAAGCUCGAGGUGAUGCUCAGACAUGUAAAGCAGGGAUUGAGUUGGGUCCCUGGGUCAGUCUAGGGUAUCUCAUGCAGGCACUGGGAUUGCAAACUUCAGAUGCUGGUCGUGCAUCGUUUCAGUCCAUGUUCACUGUAGUUAUAGUUCCCUUGCUUGAUGGUAUGUCAUGAGCAAUAGUUCCUGCUCGUACCUGGUUUGUUAUGAGUUCUAAGGUUCUAAGAUUCCAUUCAGGUAUGUGUUGUUACUGUCAUGUCAACAAUAUGGUACUGUGUUGGAGUAGGGUCGGGUGGCCUCCAAGAUUUUAACCCAUCGUUAUGGACGUGCGGUAUGUUCUGGGAAUGGAUGGUUGUGUUCCCAUGGAUACCUGCACUGUACUCGGGCAUAUUUUCGACUGGUCUAUGCUUAUGGGUAGAGGUAUGUGUAAAUGCUGAUCUGAGAGUGGGUAAGGCUAGCCGACAUUCACCUCUCCCAGACCCUGCGUAAAGCGGGAGCCUUGUGCACUGGAUGGCCGCAAUGCGUGAUGUAUCAGCAACAGAAACAGCAAUAAUUUAUAGUUUGGAGCCGGUCUGGGGUGCUGCUUUUGCAUGGUUUCUCCUUGGGGAAAGGUGGGGUGCUACUGGUUGGGUUGGCGCUGCUCUGGUGCUAGGUAAAGUACUCUUUACCUCUGGUUAGAGGGAAUAAAAAAAAACCUCUACCUCACAAUUUUUAUUUAUCAUUACCUAGUAUUAGUAAACUACCAAGUAGACCAUCAAUAAGCGCAAUGCUUUGAAUUUAACAAACUUUCAGCAGCAAAGAUUUAUCCAGUUUCAUGCUAGAUGUUCGAACCACCUUUUACCGUAGAAAAAACAGUGGUUAUAUAGGAUUGAGCGUACUGUCAACUAGACGUUAUAUUGGGUAGAAGUUUACCGAACUUCAGUACCAAUAUUCAAACUCAAACUGUGACAUACUUCAUAGUUCUUUAUAAAUUCCCAUGGGGAUCAUGGGCGGCAUCCUUGUGGAACCUGAUUAUUCCCUUGUGUCUUAGACUUUAAGUUUUCAACCCUUUGGACAAAACUUUGAGCUUCUUACUACUUACGGUAAUUUUAAAGGAAAACUAAUGAAAGGGGCUUGAAAACUUUGAGUUUUAAUGAUAAGGACAAAAUAAAGGGUAAAGUGAAUAGUAUCAGGAUUGACUUUUUAGUGAAAAAAUGUGGUUUUUCGUUAAAGUGAACAGUACCGGGUGCUUUUCAUUAAAGUUCCCUAAUUUUAAUCCAAUCCGAGGUACAACGUAUGCGCGACUAAGCCAGCUCAUUUGGUUAUAUCAUGAAGGACCAAUGCAUUAUCCUUUCCCCUGCACUUCAGCAUAUCCCCAAGCGUCUUGUAGGUUGAUGUAUACUUGUUUGUUUUUGGUAUGCAUUAUUCAUGUUUACUUCUUGUUUCUCUCUGCGGGUGGAAGCCUAACAGUGCAGAUAUUUGGAUCAGCAUCUCCUUCAAAGUCUUACAAAGAUGAAAACAAUAGUAAGAAACUCGAUUACCCGGUGGUUUCAGAUGAACAUAAUCGCCUUUCUGCCUCUCCGGUUACAGUUAGUUCCAGAAAAGAUAGAUCUGCUAAAUAAGUGAUCAAUACCUCAUGUUUACAAAGAUGAUUCUGUAUAUAAUUUAAUGUAUAAAUCUUAACUGGAUCUCAAUUAUGCAUGGCUGAUGUGCACAGUUACUGAUUACAUCAUACAAAUAGGAUUUCGAAUCUCAAAAGUAUGAUAUACCAUCUAGAUAUUGGAUUGUGUUUUUGCUUCU